GGUCCUGUAGCUCAGUGGUAGAGCAGCCCCCUCAUAAGGGAUUGGUCGCUGGUUCAAGUCCAGCCAGGGUCACCA
rnacentral:tRNA from 2 species